CACACACACACACACACACACACACACACACACACACACACACACUCAACACUUAAUGCCUUAAAGAGCCCACAGUCUCCACAGCAGUCCUGCUCGGUCUCCCCUCAGCCCCAAACCGCUCGGUGUAGCCCAACACCGGGAUAACACAGGGACCGACCACCGGGGGAGCGGGUCUCUCCUCUGUCCGUUACCGACGGCUCCGUGGGGGUUUCUCGCGGGGGAGCGGUGACGUGUUUGCCUCCAUUUUCCUCUGGAUUAUCGCUGUUAAAGUUGCUUCUACCUCCGCAGCCUCCUUCCGUGUCUUUUUUUUUUUUAAACGCGGAGUAUACCCCGAAGAAUCCCGAAGAGGUCAAAAAAAACCUGUGGCGUCGGAGGAAGAGGAAGAGGAAGAAGAAGAAGAAGAAGAGGUCGAGAGAGAGAGAGCGAGAGCGAGAGAGGAGGGACUGAGGUGUGAAUGAUUCUUUUUAAAAUAGAGUGAGAAAAAGAUUAACACAAUUGCCAAUUUCUGGGGACGGAAAGAAGAAGAGCAGAGGAAGAAAACGUCAUAAUGACAAGAAGAGAGGGAAUAAGAGAGAGGACGAGGAGGAGGAGGAGGAGGAAGAGACGCAGCUCCGCGAGCUACAGAGGACCCCACACAAGAGCCCUUCUGCCAGGAGACGCAGAGGGCAGCGAACAGAGGGACGCACAUGGAGGAGAGGAAAAAAAAAGAAGACGUCUUGGAAGACACUCUGGAAGAUACCCCCCCUCCUCCUCCCCCCUUCCUUAUACACAUAAACACUCGUACACACACCUCCCCUUCCCACGCACCAGCCAGCUAUUUUUUACAUCCCACAAGUAUCCCACCAUAAGAAAAGAAAAC